AUUGAACGCUGGCGGCAGGCCUAACACAUGCAAGUCGAACGGUAACAGGAUGCAGCUGUCUGCUUCGCUGACGAGGGGCGGGCGGGUGAGUAAUGUGUGGCAAACUGCUUGAUGUAGGGUGAUAACUACUGGAAACGGUAACUACUACCUCAUAACUUCGCAAGACUAGAGAGGGGGACCUUAUGGCCUCUUGUCAUCAGAUGCGCCCAGAUUGUCUUAGCUUGGAGGGGGGGUAACGGCUCACCUAGGCGACGAUCGCUAGAUGGUCUGAGAGGAUGAGCAGCGACACUGGAACUGAGACACGGUCCAGACUCCUACGGGAGGCAGCAGUGGGGAAUAUUGCGCAAUGGGCGCAAGCCUGGUGCAGCCAUGCCGCGUGUAAGGAAGAGGCCUUCGGGUUGUAAAGUACUUUCAGCGGGGAGGAAGGGAGUACAGUUAAUACCUAUGCUGAUUGACGUUACCCGCAGAAGAAGCACCGGCUAACUCCGUG
rnacentral:rRNA from 1 species